rnacentral:rRNA from 1 species
CAUUAAGUGCCCCGCCUAGGGGAGUACGGCCGCAAGGCUAANACUCAAAGGAAUUGACGGGGGCCCGCACAAGCGGCGGAGCAUGUUGCUUAAUUCGAUGCNACGCGAAGAACCUUACACUAGGCUUCGACAUGCAGGGAAUAAGCCGUGGAAACACAGGUGUACCUUCGGGGUCCUGCACAGGUGGUGCAUGGCUGUCGUCAGCUCGUGUCGUGAGAUGUUGGGUUAAAGUCCCGCAACGAGCGCAACCCUUGUCCUAUGUUGCCAGCGGGUAAUGCCGGGGACUCGUAGGAGACUGCCGGGGUCAACUCGGAGGAAGGUGGGGAUGACGUCAAGUCAUCAUGCCCCUUAUGCCUAGGGCUGCAAACAUGCUACAAUGGCCGGUACAAAGGGCUGCAAACCCGCGAGGGGGAGCGAACCCCAGAAAGCCGGUCUCAGUNCGGAUCGUAGUCUGCAACUCGACUGCGUGAAGGUGGAGUCGCUAGUAAUCGACAGAUCAGCAUUGCUGCGGUGAAUACGUUCCCGGGCCUUGUACACACCGCCCGUCACACCACGAAAGUCGGCAACACCCGAAGUCAGUGGCCUAACCCGACAAGGNANGGAGCUGCUCGAAGGUGCGGGGUCGGCGANU